GACGAACGCUGGCGGCGUGCUUAACACAUGCAAGUCGAACGGAAAGGCCCUGCUUUUGUGGGGUGCUCGAGUGGCGAACGGGUGAGUAACACGUGAGUAACCUGCCCUUGACUUUGGGAUAACUUCAGGAAACUGGGGCUAAUAUCGGAUAGGAGCUCCUGCUGCAUGGUGGGGGUUGGAAAGUUUCGGCGGUUGGGGAUGGACUCGCGGCUUAUGCGCUUGUUGGUGGGGUAGUGGCUUACCAAGGCUUUGACGGGUAGCCGGCCUGAGAGGGUGACCGGCCACAUUGGGACUGAGAUACGGACCAGACUCCUACGGGAGGCAGCAGUGGAGAAUAUGGCACAAUGGGCGGAAGCCUGAUGCAGCAACGCCGCGUGCGGGAUGACGGCCUUCGGGUUGUAAACCGCUUUCGCCUGUGACGAAGCGUGAGUGACGGUAAUGGGUAAAGAAGCACCGGCUAACUACGUG
rnacentral:rRNA from 1 species